rnacentral:lncRNA from 1 species
UUUUUAUGCCCCACCUACGAUAGUAGAGGGGCAUUAUGUUUUCCGGUCUGUGCGUCCGUCCGUCCGUUCGUUCGUCCGUCCGUCUGUCCGUUCGUUCGUCCGUCCGUCUGUCCCGCUUCAGGUUAAAGUUUUUGGUCAAGGUAGUUUUUGAUGAAGUUUAAGUCCAAUCGACUUCAAACUUAGUACACAUGUCCCCUAUGAUAUGAUCUUUCUAAUUUUAAUGCCAAAUUAGAGUUUUUACCCCAAUUUCACGGUCCACUG